CCCACAGGAGAGAGGAUUGUUACAGCUGGGUAGAGUCGCUUCCGGAGGGUGCUUUGGAUCUCAGGGUUCACUUUUCUGGCCUUUCCUUCCUGGAUCAGCUCUGCUUCAGCCAUCCUCCGGGUCACCUGCAGCAACAGGUCACAAUACAAACACACAAAUCUCAGAGAAGCAAAAGCUGCCCCACUGUUGGUGACAGCAGCCAAGGCGUCUGUUUCUAGAAGUUUCCAUUAAAAAAAAAAAAA